AUUGAACGCUGGCGGAAUGCUUUACACAUGCAAGUCGAGCGGCAGCACGGGGGCAACCCUGGUGGCGAGCGGCGAACGGGUGAGUAACACAUCGGAACAUGCCCAGUCGUGGGGGAUAACACUUCGAAAGAAGUGCUAAUACCGCAUACGUCCUGAGGGAGAAAGCGGGGGAUCGCAAGACCUCGCGCGAUUGGAGUGGCCGAUGUCAGAUUAGCUAGUUGGUGGGGUAAAGGCCUACCAAGGCAACGAUCUGUAGCUGGUCUGAGAGGAUGAUCAGCCACACUGGGACUGAGACACGGCCCAGACUCCUACGGGAGGCAGCAGUGGGGAAUUUUGGACAAUGGGGGCAACCCUGAUCCAGCCAUUCCGCGUGAGUGAAGAAGGCCUUCGGGUUGUAAAGCUCUUUCGGCAGGAACGAAACGGUGAGCUCUAACAUAGCUUGCUAAUGACGGUACCUGAAGAAGAAGCACCGGCUAGCUACGUG
rnacentral:rRNA from 1 species